AUGUAAGGGCGUAUGGGGGAUGCCUAGGCUCUCAGAGGCGAAGAAGGACGUGAUAAGCUGCGAAAAGCUGCGGGGAUUGGCACAUACGAAUAGAUCCGCAGAUAUCCGAAUGGGGCAACCCACUAGUUUGAAGGACUAGUAUCCUUAUAAAGGAGGCGAACCCGCUGAACUGAAACAUCUAAGUAGGCGGAGGAGAAGAAAACAAAAGUGAUUCCGAGAGUAGUGGCGAGCGAAAUUGGAACAGCCCAAACCCAUGUUGUUACGGCAAUAUGGGGGUUGUAGGACCCGAUGUUGGUUGUUAAAUGGAACCGGAAGUAUUUGGAAAGAUACGCCAUAGAGUGUGAUAGUCACGUAUGGGUAACGUUUAAUAAAUCAUAGGGAAAUCCUGAGUAGGGCGGGGCACGUGGAACCCUGUCUGAAUCUGCCGGGACCAUCCGGUAAGGCUAAAUACUCCUGAGAGACCGAUAGUGAACCAGUACCGUGAGGGAAAGGUGAAAAGAACCGUGAAUAACGGAGUGAAAUAGACCCUGAAACCAUACGCUUACAAGCGGUCGGAGCCCUUUUGGGUGACGGCGUGCCUUUUGCAUAAUGAGCCUACGAGUUACUUUUACCAGCGAGGAUAAGUAUUUCAGAUACGAAUUCGUAGCGAAAGCGAGUCUUAAUAGGGCGAUAUAGUUGGUAGUAGUAGACGCGAAACCUGGUGAUCUACCCAUGGGCAGGUUGAAGCGCUGGUAACACAGCGUGGAGGACCGAACCGGUUGUCGUUGAAAAGACUUCGGAUGACCUGUGGGUAGGGGUGAAAGGCCAAUCAAACUGGGAAAUAGCUCGUACUCCCCGAAAUGUAUUUAGGUACAGCGUCGUAUAUAGUUUAUUAGAGGUAGAGCUACUGAUUGGAUGCGGGGGUUUCACCGCCUACCAAUUCCUGACAAACUCCGAAUGCUAAUAAAUGUUUUGCGGCAGUGAGGGCAUGGGUGCUAAGGUCCAUGUCCGAGAGGGAAAGAACCCGGACCAUCAGCUAAGGUCCCCAAAUAUAUGCUAAGUUGACCAAACGCGGUCUGACUGCACUGACAGCUAGGAUGUUGGCUUGGAAGCAGCCAUACAUUUAAAGAGUGCGUAACAGCUCACUAGUCGAGCGGUCGGGCAUGGAUAAUACUCGGGCAUAAGCAUAUUACCGAAGCUAUGGACUUAAUAAAUUAAGUGGUAGGGGAGCAUUCUAAUGGCGUUGAAGGUGAACUGUGAGGUUUGCUGGAGCGAUUAGAAAAGAAAAUGUAGGCAUAAGUAACGAUAAGGCAGGCGAGAAACCUGCCCGCCGAAAGAUCAAGGUUUCCUCAGCUAUGCUAAUCAGCUGAGGGUUAGUCGGGGCCUAACGCGAAUCCGAAUUGGAGUAGUGGAUGGACCACAGGUUAAUAUUCCUGUACUUUCAUAACGAUAGAAGUGACGGAAUGAGGUAAGCUCUGCGUACUGACGGAAUAGUACGUUGAAGGUGCUGUUAUGGCAUUGAUAGUACACUAAGGCUUCGGCUGCGGUGAUAAUGAGCAGAUAACGUUUCCAAGAAAAGCGAGUUAUGAAACCCGUACCGUAAACCGACACAGGUGAUUGGGAUGAGAAUUCUAAGGCGCUCGAGAGAUUCAUGGCUAAGGAACUAGGCAAAAUAGACCUGUAACUUCGGGAGAAAGGUCGCCUCCCUCCGGGGAGGCCGCAGUGAAAAGGUCCAGGCGACUGUUUAUCAAAAACACAGGACUCUGCUAAAUUGAAAGAUGACGUAUAGGGUCUGACACCUGCCCGGUGCUGGAAGGUUAAGAGGAGAUGUUAGAGGCAACUCGAAGCAUUGAAUUGAAGCCCCAGUAAACGGCGGCCGUAACUAUAACGGUCCUAAGGUAGCGAAAUUCCUUGUCGGGUAAGUUCCGACCUGCACGAAUGGUGUAACGAUCUGGACACUGUCUCAGCCAUGAGCUCGGUGAAAUUGUAGUAUCGGUGAAGAUGCCGAUUACCCGCAGUGGGACGAAAAGACCCUGUGCACCUUUACUAUAUCUUCGUAUUGGUCUUGGAUAAGUGAUGCGUAGGAUAGGUGGGAGACUUAGAAGCGGCUAUUCCGGUAGUUGUGGAGUCGUUGUUGAAAUACCACCCUUUGCUUAUCUGAGGUCUAACUCCGCAUAGAGUGGAGGACAAUUCGUGGAGGGUAGUUUGACUGGGGUGGUCGCCUCCAAAAGCGUAACGGAGGCUUCUAAAGGUUCCCUCAGCACGCUUGGUAACCGUGCGUAGAGUGCAAUGGUAUAAGGGAGCUUGACUGAGAGACUAACAAGUCGAUCAGGUACGAAAGUAGAGCAUAGUGAUCCGGUGGUUCCGUAUGGAAGGGCCAUCGCUCAAAGGAUAAAAGGUACGCCGGGGAUAACAGGCUGAUCUCCCCCAAGAGCUCACAUCGACGGGGGGGUUUGGCACCUCGAUGUCGGCUCGUCACAUCCUGGGGCUGGAGAAGGUCCCAAGGGUUGGGCUGUUCGCCCAUUAAAGUGGCACGCGAGCUGGGUUCAGAACGUCGUGAGACAGUUCGGUCUCUAUCUACUGUGGGCGUUAGAAAUUUGCGUGGUGCUGACUCUAGUACGAGAGGACCGAGUUGGACCAACCUCUGGUGUAUCAGUUGUUCCGCCAGGAGCAUGGCUGAGUAGCUACGUUGGGAAGGGAUAAGUGCUGAAAGCAUAUAAGUACGAAACCCGCCACAAGAUGAGAUUUCUUUUAAGGGUCGUGGGAGAUGACCACGUUGAUAGGUUACAGGUGUAACGGCAGUAAUGUCAUAGCCGAGUAAUACUAAUAACCCGUAGACUUA
rnacentral:rRNA from 1 species